AACGAACGCUGGCGGCAUGCCUAACACAUGCAAGUCGAACGAGACCUUCGGGUCUAGUGGCGCACGGGUGCGUAACGCGUGGGAACCUGCCCUUAGGUUCGGAAUAACUCCCCGAAAGGGGUGAUAAUACCGGAUAAUGUCUUCGGACCAAAGAUUUAUCGCCUUUGGAUGGGCCCGCGUUGGAUUAGCUAGUUGGUAGGGUAAAAGCCUACCAAGGCGACGAUCCAUAGCUGGUCUGAGAGGAUGAUCAGCCACACUGGGACUGAGACACGGCCCAGACUCCUACGGGAGGCAGCAGUGGGGAAUAUUGGACAAUGGGCGAAAGCCUGAUCCAGCAAUGCCGCGUGAGUGAUGAAGGCCGUAGGGUUGUAAAGCUCUUUUACCCGGGAUGAUAAUGACAGUACCGGGAGAAUAAGCUCCGGCUAACUCCGUG
rnacentral:rRNA from 1 species